GAUGAACGCUGGCGGCGUGCCUAAUACAUGCAAGUCGAGCGAACAGACGAGGAGCUUGCUCCUUUGACGUUAGCGGCGGACGGGUGAGUAACACGUGGGUAACCUACCUAUAAGACUGGGAUAACUUCGGGAAACCGGAGCUAAUACCGGAUAAUAUUUCGAACCGCAUGGUUCGAUAGUGAAAGAUGGCUCUGCUAUCACUUAUAGAUGGACCUGCGCCGUAUUAGCUAGUUGGUAAGGUAACGGCUUACCAAGGCAACGAUACGUAGCCGACCUGGGAGGGUGAUCGGCCACACGGGAACUGAGACAUGGUCCAGACUCCUACGGGAGGCAGCAGUAGGGAAUCUUCCGCAAUGGGCGAAAGCCUGACGGAGCAACGCCGCGUGAGUGAUGAAGGUCUUCGGAUCGUAAAACUCUGUUAUUAGGGAAGAACAAACGUGUAAGUAACUGUGCACGUCUUGACGGUACCUAAUCAGAAAGCCACGGCUAACUACGUGCCAGCCGCCGCCGUAA
rnacentral:rRNA from 1 species